rnacentral:rRNA from 1 species
UUCGACGAGUCGAGUUGUUUGGGAAUGCAGCUCUAAAUGGGAGGUAAAUUUCUUCUAAAGCUAAAUACUGGCCAGAGACCGAUAGCGCACAAGUAGAGUGAUCGAAAGAUGAAAAGCACUUUGGAAAGAGAGUCAAAUAGCACGUGAAAUUGUUGAAAGGGAAGCGCUUGCAGCCAGACUUGCCUGUAGUUGCUCAUCUGGGCUUUUGCCCGGUGCAUUCUUCUGCAGGCAGGCCAGCAUCAGUUUGGGCGGUUGGAUAAAGGUCUCUGUCAUGUACCUCUCUUCGGGGAGGCCUUAUAGGGGAGACGUCAUGCAACCAGCCUGGACUGAGGUCCGCGCAUUUGCUAGGAUGCUGGCGUAAUGGCUGUAAGCGGCCCGUCUUGAAACACGGACCAAGGAGUCUAACAUCUAUGCGAGUGUUUGGGUGUCAAGCCCGAGCGCGUAAUGAAAGUGAACGGAGGUGGGAACCCUUUGGGUGCACCAUCGACCGAUCCUGAUGUCUUCGGA